rnacentral:rRNA from 1 species
GAUGAACGCUGGCUACAGGCUUAACACAUGCAAGUCGAGGGGAAACGCCGGGGAAGCUUGCUUCCCCGGGCGUCGACCGGCGCACGGGUGAGUAACGCGUAUCCAACCUGCCUCUGACUGAGGGAUAACCCGUCGAAAGUCGGCCUAAUACCUCAUGGUAUCGUCUGCGGGCAUCCAACGACGAUUAAAGAUUUCAUCGGUCAGGGAUGGGGAUGCGUCUGAUUAGCUUGUUGGCGGGGUAACGGCCCACCAAGGCUACGAUCAGUAGGAGUUCUGAGAGGAAGGUCCCCCACAUUGGAACUGAGACACGGUCCAAACUCCUACGGGAGGCAGCAGUGAGGAAUAUUGGUCAAUGGGCGAGAGCCUGAACCAGCCAAGUAGCGUGCAGGAAGACGGCCCUAUGGGUUGUAAACUGCUUUUAUGCGGGGAUAAAGUGAGGGACGUGUCCCUCAUUGCAGGUACCGCAUGAAUAAGGACCGGCUAAUUCCGUG